ACACUCCUGCGGGAGGCAGCAGUGGGGAAUUUUACGCAAUGGGGGAAACCCUGACGUAGCGACACCGCGUGAGCGAAGAAGCCCUUUGGGGUGUAAAGCUCUGUCAGCUGGAACGAAAACAAUGACGGUACCAGCAGAGGAAGCAUCGGCUAACUACGUGCCAGCAGCCGCGGUAAGACGUAGGAUGCGAGCGUUGUCCGGAUUUAUUGGGCGUAAAGAGUUCGUAGGUGGUUUGUUAAGUUUGGUGUUAAAGAUCGGGGCUCAACCCUGGGACUGCACUGAAUACUGGCAGACUCGAGUGUGGUAGAGGCUAGUGGAAUUCCCAGUGUAGCGGUGAAAUGCGUAGAUAUUGGGAAGAACACCGGUGGCGUAGGCGACUAGCUGGGCCAUAACUGACGCUGAGGAACGAAAGCCAGGGGAGCGAAUGGGAUUAGAAACCCUAGUAGUCCC
rnacentral:rRNA from 1 species